GACGAACGCUGGCGGCGUGCUUAACACAUGCAAGUCGAACGGAAAGGCCCUGCUUGCAGGGUCCUCGAGUGGCGAACGGGUGAGUAACCCGUGGGUGAUCUGCCCUGCACUUCGGGAUAAUCCUAGGAAACUGGGUCUACUACCGGAUAGGAGCCAUUUUUCGUGUGCUGGUUGGAAAGUUUUUUCGGUGUAGGAUGAGCUCUCGGCCUAUCAGCUUGUUGGUGGGGUAAUGGCCUACCAAGGCGGCGACGGGUAGCCCGCCUGAGAGGGUGGACGGGCACAUUGGGACUGAGAUACGGCCCAGACUCCUACGGGAGGCAGCAGUGGGGAAUAUUGAACAAGGGGAGCAAGCCUGAUGCAGCGACGCCGCGUGGGGGAGGACGGACUUCGGGUUGUAAACGCCUUUCGCUAGGGACGAAGCUGUUUGUGACGGUACCUAGAUAAGAAGCACCGGCUAACUACGUG
rnacentral:rRNA from 1 species